rnacentral:lncRNA from 1 species
UCGCCAUGUUGUCAGUUGCAUCCUCCGCUUCUUCCUGUUAGCACCUUGCAUAUCUUCAAUGUAGUUUUUGGAAAAUUGUCACUCCACUUUUUUCCAACAUGAUGGCUUCUUUGUCGGUGCCUCCUUCAUCCCCCACCAUUAUCUUCUCGUCAGUAGACUAUCCUUCCUUACAGUUUCACCACUCCUGAGAAAUUGCACUAUCUUGGAG